rnacentral:rRNA from 1 species
AUAUCAGUCAUGCAUAGCAUAUCAAUAAGCGGAGGAAAAGAAACUAACAAGGAUUCCCUUAGUAACGGCGAGUGAAGCGGGAAGAGCUCAAAUUUGAAAUCUUCAAGGUUUUACCUUGACGAAUUGUAGUUUAAAGAAGUGUUUUCUGUUGAAGUUUUGGUAAAAGUUCUUUGGAAUAGGACAUCAUAGAGGGUGAGAAUCCCGUAUUUGACCAUUACUUUCAGCUUUGUGAUACACUUUCAAAGAGUCGGAUUGUUUGGGAAUGCAGUCCAAAAUGGGUGGUAAAUUUCAUCUAAAGCUAAAUAUUGGCGAGAGACCGAUAGCGAACAAGUACCGUGAGGGAAAGAUGAAAAGAACUUUGAAAAGAGAGUUAAACAGUACGUGAAAUUGUCAAAAGGGAAGCGUUUGACACCAGUGUUGUUUUCUCGAAAAUCAAUUAAAAAGAGUUGGAUUUUGUGUUGUAUUGACUUUAUCAGCUUUCUUCACUCUUUUCCAGCUUUUUUAAUGCACUUUUCGUUUAACAAGUCAACAUCAGUUUCUUUUGUUGUAAAAAGGUCAUUGGAAGGUGGCUUUCUCUUCGGAGAAAGUGUUUAUAGCCUUUGACUCAUGCAAUCGGAGAGACUGAGGUCUGCAGCGUAGAUCCUUCGGGGUUAGAUACAUUUGUGCUAAGUUAUAGCUUUUCAUAGACAACUUGUUGACUAUGUUUAGUCUUGUAGCUUACUCGCUUAUGCUAUUUUACCUACGCUUAGGAUGUUGAACUCUAUCACACACA